GCUAUUUACUAUCUCAUGGCUAUUCUUCUCAGUGGACUCAAUUGCCAUUAGUCCCGUUCGAUAGAGGAAAGUCGAGUUCAUUUGAUUUUUCAGAUUCGAGGACGAAUAUUUUUGAGGAAGGGGGGAAUGAUACGAGUCACAAAAGCCCAAAUUCUUGAAGGCGAGGCCCAAUAAGCAAAUUCUUCCAAGCCCAAUCAAGAAAUCCACCCAUACUUAGUUAAAAAUCAGGCCAAAUUGUCAAAGUGGCCCAAGUUGUAAAGUUUUAUUUUUAUUUAUUUAUUUAUUUAUUUUACUUAGUUUAAAUUUUUAUAUUCAGUCCAAGAGUCCCAAAUAAAAGACCCUUGCUCGAAUUUCCAUAUUAAAAUAAUUAGGAGUUUUUUUUUAAUUUCCAUAUGGCUUGGCCAGCCACCCUACAUUACAUUACAAUUACAUUGAAAAUUUCAGAUUUGAUUUGAGUGAAAAUUCUCUUUGAGUUCUUCAAGGAUUUUCUCUUGAGUUUUCUUUAGAAGUUGUUUUAACAAUCUUUUUGAUUGUGGGAGCCAUCUUCAACCUUCUUCUUGCCAUUGAUAUUCUUUGGAGGGGAGAUUAGAGCCGUUUGAAGGGAGUUGUGAGAUCUUUCGGGAUUUCAAGGCUUCUUAGGACUUAUCUUUUAAUUUCUUACUGUCAAUUCUUUCUUUAUUUCUGCUUGUACCGAAUCUUUAUCUAAUUUAUUUUCUGUUCUUAUUGUGUUUUCAGCCUUUUUCUAUCUUAAGGAAUUAGCCCAAAAAUCCCCAAUUUCUAGGGUUCUUGCCGAUUCAUCCAUACUCUUUUUGGGAGAAAUUAGAUUGCCAAAAUUUGGGGAAAACUAUCUGGGUGUUCAAUUGGGCAGAAUCGCAAUCUCUUCUAGGGUUUCAAGAUUCCUUAUUAACACUUAUUUCUAUUCUCUAUUUGAUUCUUUACUGUUUUGGGGAUUUUAUUUCAGAUCUGAAAAUUCAAAAAUCUAAUCUUUUAAUUUUUCUGUUUCGUUUCAGAUCUAAUUGUUUAGGGUUUUCGUAGGAGUUUCUCGUGACUUGGCAACUCGAUCUUGGUCCGCGCGCAACCCCGUAUCA
rnacentral:lncRNA from 1 species